UGUCCUGGACCUGGCUAGAGUUGCACCUGAUUUGGUGGGGCUUGUCUCACAUCAGCCAGGAACAAAUUAACUAACUCCUUGUUUAUACCCUCUUGGCUCUUGGUCUGUGCCCAUGCCUGCUUCAUGUCCUGAACACAUGG